rnacentral:rRNA from 1 species
AUCAUUACAGAGUUACUACUCCAAACCCAUUGUGAACCUUACCUAUGUUCUGUUGCCUCGGCGGCGUCGGUCAGCGCCCCUCUGAAAAGAGGACGAUGCCCCUCCCGCCGGCAGCACCAAACUCUUGAAUUUUACAGCGGAUUACAGUUCUGAUUUGAAAACAAAAAACAAGUUAAAACUUUCAACAACGGAUCUCUUGGUUCUGGCAUCGAUGAAGAACGCAGCGAAAUGCGAUAAGUAAUGUGAAUUGCAGAAUUCAGUGAAUCAUCGAAUCUUUGAACGCACAUUGCGCCCGGCAGUAAUCUGCCGGGCAUGCCUGUCCGAGCGUCAUUUCAACCCUCGAACCUCCGUUUCCUUAGGGAAGCCUAGGGUCGGUGUUGGGGCGCUACGGCGAGUCCUCGCGACCCCCGUAGGCCCUGAAAUACAGUGGCGGUCCCGCCGCGGUUGCCUUCUGCGUAGUAAGUCUCUUUUGCAAGCUCGCAUUGGGUCCCGGCGGAGGCCUGCCGUCAAACCACCUAACAACUCCAGAUGGUUUGACC